rnacentral:rRNA from 1 species
UACGGGGGGGGCAAGCGUUGUUCGGAAUUACUGGGCGUAAAGGGCUCGUAGGCGGCCAACUAAGUCGGACGUGAAAUCCCCAGGCUCAACCUGGGAACUGCGUCUGAUACUGGAUGGCUUGAAUCCGGGAGAGGGAUGCAGAAUUCCAGGUGUAGCGGUGAAAUGCGUAGAUAUCUGGAGGAACACCGGUGGCGAAGGCGGCAUCCUGGACCGGCAUUGACGCUGAGGAGCGAAAGCUAGGGGAGCGAACAGG